rnacentral:SRP_RNA from 1 species
GCCGAGCUUGGUAACUCAAGCUUGUAACUCAAGUGAGGGCAUUAAGGUGACGAGGACAAAUUAAAAAAAAAAGGGGAAAGGUCUGUUUGGUUUGAUAAACCAAGCAUAGAAUACUGGCUUGUAAGUCUAUGAUAAGGACUUUGCAUGAAGGGGAGUUUGGUUUAAUAAACCUUGCUGACUUCACAGAGCAGCGGCAUACCCUCUUGCUUUGGGCAAGACCAGUUUGCUAUAACAAGUUCAAAACCCUAAAAGCUUCUCAUAGUUUGGACCAUCACCUUU